rnacentral:tRNA from 4 species
UUGCGGAGACAGGAUUUGAACCCGU